AUACGUAGGGGGCGAGCGUUAUCCGGAUUUAUUGGGCGUAAAGCGUGUGUAGGCGGUUUAUUAAGUAUAAGAUUAAAGCCCGAAGCUUAACUUCGGUUCGUCUUAUAAACUGGUAGACUUGAGUAUGGUAGAGGCAAAUGGAAUUUCUAGUGUAGCGGUAAAAUGCGUAGAUAUUAGAAGGAACACCAGUGGCGAAGGCGGUUUGCUGGGCCAUUACUGACGCUGAGACACGAAAGCGU
rnacentral:rRNA from 1 species